rnacentral:rRNA from 1 species
CGACCGGCGCACGGGUGAGUAACACGUAUGCAACCUGCCCGUCUCAGGGGGAUAAUCGUCGGAAACGGCGUCUAAUACCCCGUAUGAAGCUGGACGGCAUCGUCUGGUUUUGAAAGAAUAUCGGAGACGGAUGGGCAUGCGGCGCAUUAGCUAGUUGGCGGGGUAACGGCCCACCAAGGCGACGAUGCGUAGGGGUUCUGAGAGGAAGGUCCCCCACACUGGUACUGAGACACGGACCAGACUCCUACGGGAGGCAGCAG